rnacentral:lncRNA from 1 species
CGGAAAUAUUCUCAUCGUGAAGCGUGGGAAUUUUUACAGGAAGCUCUCAGCUAUUUUUGGUUUUGUUGCUUAUUGAGUGCUGUUAGAGCCCUUCACGGGGAGAUGCAAUAACUCUGUUAGAGCUGAAUAUACCUAGUAAAAGCUAAUACCUCUCUGUACAAACCUUGCCUUGCUUAUAUCCUUGGACCAUCACACCUGCAAUAACUCUAAAACAGAUUCAUCAGUGAUUCUGAAGUUAGUACCAAAGUCAACAUCAACAUCUGGAAUGGAGACGUCGCUGGUCAGAAUCUUCCUGUCUCUAUUGUACUUAAAGGUUAGUGUGGCUUCAUGCUGCUUUACACCUGGAAAAUAUAAUAGAGUCUUGUUAUCCACAACUAUGGAGCAUUAUGGACUUUUCUAAGAAGGAGAAAAAAUAGAAUCAGUUGAAAAUUACACCACCCUGAAAAUCUAAGGAAAGCCUGAAUGGGUCUCCGUUAGAAACAGGUUCAUCUUUUUCUCCUCAUCUUCAAAGCUCAUCAUGGACUAAUCCUGCCACUAUUAUUGUUGCAUAAGGUAUGUUGUCUCUCAUUUAAAAAAACAAACAAACAAAAAAACCCCAACACCUUUUGUUUUAUGCAGUUUUUCUCCAUUUGUAUGCAUUACUUCCAUAUUUCAUCAGAAAUGUAGUUUUCCUAUUGCUUAUGUUGAAAUCAUUAAUUUCUCCUUUUCCAUUCUUACAUUCAUUGACAUCAAAAU